CCAUUCUCAGUUCGGAUUGUAGGCUGAAACUCGCCUACAUGAAGCUGGAGUUACUAGUAAUCGCAGAUCAGAAUGCUGCGGUGAGUGCGUUCCCGGGUCUUGUACACACCGCCCGUCACACCACGGAAGUUGGGGGCGCCCGAAGCCACUUAGCUAACCCUUUUGGGAAGCGAGUGUCGAAGGUGAAAUCAAUAACUGGGGUGAAGUCGUAACAAGGUAAC
rnacentral:rRNA from 1 species